rnacentral:misc_RNA from 1 species
GAUGAAGAACGUAGCGAAAUGCGAUAAGUAAUGUGAAUUGCAGAAUUCAGUGAAUCAUCGAAUCUUUGAACGCACAUUGCGCCCGCUAGGAUUCUGGCGGGCAUGCCUGUCCGAGCGUCAUUUCAACCCUCAAGCCCCCGGGCUUGGUGUUGGGGAUCGGCGAGCCUCCGCGCCCGCCGUCCCCUAAAUCUAGUGGCGGUCUCGCUGUAGCUUCCUCUGCGUAGUAGCACACCUCGCACUGGGAAACAGCGCGGCCACGCCGUUAAACCCCCAACUUCUGAACGUUUGACCUCGGAUCAGGUAGGAAUACCCGCUGAACUUAAGCAUAUCAAUAAGCGGAGGA